CAGUCGCCACGGUAAUACGUAGGGUGCGAGCGUUAAUCGGAGUUACUGGGCGUAAAGCGUGCGCAGGCGGUUCGUUAAGACAGAUGUGAAGUCCCCGGGCUUAACCUGGGAACUGCAUUUGUGACUGGCGAGCUAGAGUAUGGCAGAGGGGGGUAGAAUUCCACGUGUAGCAGUGAAAUGCGUAGAUAUGCGGAGGAACACCGAUGGCGAAGGCAAUCCCCUGGGCCUGCACUGACGCUCAUGCACGAAAGCGUGGGGAGCAAACAGGAUUAGAUACCCCCGUAGUCCCUGUCUCUUAUAC
rnacentral:rRNA from 1 species